rnacentral:lncRNA from 1 species
CUUAUAAAUCCUCCAAAAGCUAAGAGCCAAUCAAUUUCCCAAAUGGCUUCCAAGGCUCUAGCUUCCACUGCUCUCCUCCUCUCCCUUAACCUCCUCUUCUUCACUUUGGUCACCUCCACCAAUGUUGCUUGCCCACCACCUCAGAAAAAGGGUCAUAAACACCAGCCCAAGCAUGCAAGUCCUGCACUACCCAACCCUAACCCCUCUAAGCCUGCCACGUGCCCCAAAGACACAUUGAAAUUGGGGGCAUGUGCUGACUUGUUGAAUGGUUUGGUGCAC